UGCCUGUUGGGCCGGCCAGGCCGGACUGCAAGAUUAACCCGCAGAGAGCAGGCAGAAGGAGGUCGGGGAGUUGAACAGCCACUGGACAGAGAGGAGCAGAGCUUGAAGGGGAGAACAGGAGAAGGCUGCUGCUGUCAGAGCACCGACUGGAAAGAGGGCUUGGACCCCAGCCCCAUGCCCAUCCUCCCAGACAUUGUAGCACAUACCGCCACCUGUGAGCUGGAGCAGGAGAAGAUGCGCUUCAUGGCCGGGGCCGGGGCCACGGGGGGACGGGGACGCGCGGAGAGCGGGGUCACAGGUUCCUGAACCCACCGGACUCGUCUGCAGCUUUGUAAGAGAGCUGUCAAAAGCAAACCGGGACCCGCCCCAGGGGGGGCCACCCCGUUCAAUCAGAGGCAAGAAUCCGAGGGCUGGUCUUAACACUCCGCCCCUGGCCCAGCCUCACUCCGCCGCUGCGGAGACAAAAAUCCUGCAGUCUCCGCCUGGGCUUGGUCUCAAAACCUCACCCUCCCAAACCGAACCCGCCCCCAGCUCCGACCUGCUCAAUCGUAAAAGGGACCUCAGGUCCCCAGACCCGGGAUCCGGCUAAAACUCCUCCCCCUGCCCCGCCCCGCCCCGCCCCGCCCCUCCCCGCAGUUCCAGGCUGCGGCUCCACCCCAAGCCCCGCCUCAGCCCCGUUCCCCGGAGCGCAGCCGCAGGAGUCUCCCGGUGUGCACGCCUCUUAGAAACUGUCGCAUUUAACCACUGGUGACGAAGAUUUGAUUAUAUCCAGAGAUGUUUGCCGACUUAGUUACCUCUGCUUCCUCCCCCCAUUCCGCGGCCAAAAACCCGGGCACAAAGAAGGAUUUGAAGAGAGCAGUUUGGAAACGGGAGGAGAUUGUAGUGCCGAGCAAAGGACUGAGCGUGGAUGAUGCACGACCCACCGCAACGUGGAGAAAGGGGACCAAGCCUAAUAUCCCAACGCACCUCUACGUUAGUAAAGGGCACAGGGAGAGGAGCGAUUUUUUUUAUUCUAAGCAUUCCCUUCCACAAAAAUACGCACAAAACCGUCUUCAUUAUUUCCACUGCCCUUUAAAUUCAGAUUCUCAGCAAUUCGUGCUUGAACAGUCAGUCUACCCGUCUCUCUUUUCUCCUCCCUUCAGCCAGAGAGAGCACACUCAAAUGCAUAUGAAAGCCUACAGGAUAAAGGUCAGAGUUCUUAACGUAGUUUACUAGGCUCAUCAGGAGCGGCACUCUGCCUGUUCAAGUCUCAUCUCUCACUACUUUCACAAACAGUCUAAUGCUCAGGCUGCUCCAAUCUACUACAGUUCCCUUCCCGACUGGUGAUUAAUCCUCCCUGGAAUGCCUCCUCUCACACUUGGUGGCCCCUCAAGACUUUUUUUUUUCUUCAUACAUAAACUCUGUAAACUUUUAAAGUCCCUCCAACCUCACCUAAAAAAGUGUGCCUCUUGUGUGCGACACAUUUCUAAUACUGAUAUGUCGUCUAGCAACCAGCUCUCUGU